UGCUAUUGAGAAUGAAAAGCCUGAUAAACUAUCACAGCUCUUUUAAAGCCACGGCUCACUUCUCACCUCAUCUUUUUUUUCCCCCUAUGUUUUUUUUCCUCUUUUUUUUACUGUUAGUCACGCCUCACUCAGUAUGUGCUGUAUGAGCCACGAACAUUGCACACUUAGUGGUAAGGCAAAUCAAUGCAGUCAUGCACUAAAUCAACACAUCUAAUGUUGCUCCAUGUCAAGUGUGGUUGUUGUCAGUGUCAGGGAGUUAGCAGGCAGAAUAUAAUAUACUUACCAUGUGUCUUUGCUAGGUCUCGCACUGAUACAUCAAAAGGCCUCCGUCCAUCUGUCUCACUAGGACCAGAACAUCAUCAAAUUACUACCAAAUGAAUCUACUUAAAUCAGCAAAUUUGCAGUUGUUACCAUCUGUAAAUUCAGCUAACGUCUCACAUUGUUACCAAGGAGGUCUGGCGCCUGCUGAUGAAUGAGGGAUCAAUAAUCCUGUGGAAGGAAGCCAAGAAAUUAUCCAGGAGUUGAGCCUUUACGGUUCAGAGCCGAUGAUGCCACAGGCGAACGCCGGGGAAACACGUGAGCCUUGAGUUAAAAGAAAAGACUUCACCCAGACCGCAGUUAUUACU